UUUUUUUUUUUUUGUCUUGUCUUUUUGCCUUUUCUAGGGCUGCUCCCGGGGCAUAUGGAGGUUCCCAGGCUAGGGGUCCCAUUGGAGCUGUAGCCACUGGCCUAUACCACAGCCACAGCAACGCCAGAUCCAAGCCACAUCUGCAACCUACACCACUGUUCAGGGCAACGCCAGAUCCUUAACCCACUGAGCAAGGCCAGGGAUCGAACCCACAACCUAACGGUUCCUAGUCGAAUUCAUUAACCACUGAGCCACAACAGGAACUCCUGGAAUUGCACUUUAGAUUUCAGUAUUUUGACAAAUCUUAAAUUCUAAGUAAACGAAUCAAGCUUUUUGUACAGAGUUUAUUGGAAAACCCAACCUAUUUCCCCAUCUUUGAUGAAGCACAUCUUUAUAUAAUAAACUGUGUUCCAUAUACACUGACCUAAAUGAAACGUUUCGGCCGCAAGUCUUUUCUUAGGUAUUUGCCGCGUGUGCAGAGUUCCCCGCUCUGCUCUCCGUGGCUGAGAGCCCGUGACUUCCUGCAUUCCCCCCAAGGGUCCGCUCUGCCGGCUGCUCAUCUUGCUGAGCCGCCUCCCAACCCUUCAGUUCCCACGUGUGGCAGGUCCAUUCCCGAGAAGAAACCCCUCGUUGCCAAGUACUCAGAGCGGCUCUGCUUCCCUGACCAAACCCUGGCAGAGGCACUGAGGAAAAGUCAGGAAAAGAUGACAACCCUUGCAAUGUCCCCCUGGCGAUGUGAAGUCUGGGGAAGGGGCUUGGGACUGGCACGACGUCCAGAAACUCUCAGGUAAAUACGUCACUAAAUGUGACUUUGUUUGUAUUCCUUUAGAUGACAUUUCAAAAACCCAAACCCCAAACCGACAACCCCUCAGACCCCCACGAAGCCAUAUUUAGAGGAAAAUGUGGCCAAUGAACUUGUAAUUUAAGGACCUGGCACAGUGGCCCCACAGAGACUCUGAGGUCAGCUGACAUUUUCUGCUUCAGCCUUUUGUGUGCGUCUUCCUGUGAUUUUAGAAAGCCUUUCCCUGUCCCACCCUUAAUGCAAAGGAGGCUUUUGGAUUCCAGGUAAAAUCUGGCUAUUUUUGAAAUCCUAUCCUGGGAGCGAGCCCUUACCUUUGGCUGGGCAUGUAAUUGAAAGGUUUUGACCGCUAGCCAGCAGUCAGGACCUGAUCUGCCUUUUUAAUGGGACACAUGCAGUGCCUGUAUGUGUGUUUCCUCAUUUGAAUUAAUUAACACCUUUGAUGCAUUAGGCAAUUUCCCAGUAAAAUCUUGAUUUCUGACCCCUCCAAAAACAAGGAGAAGAUGCAGCAUUAUGGGGUCCUCAAACCCGCCUGCUAACAGGUAGGAGAGGCCGAGCCACAGCUGCACCCUCCCCCCCCACCUCCGCACCUGGGCAGUUAGCUGCAGUCCCCGCCAACCCCUACUGUCCCGACCUGAGCCUGCCACGGGCGUUUAUUCCACCUGCCAGGCUCCCUGGUGGGUCUGUGCCUGAGUCCUGCCCUGGACACCUGCCUAGGCACUGACCCUGGACACAGCGACCUGUAAACCGCUCAUCUCGGCCCCAGGGUCCCUCAACGCCCAGCCUGGGAGCUUGUCUGACACUUACUGCUGCUGCAGGGGCUGCAGGGUGCUGAGGCUUGUAUUUCGGUCAACUGACAUUUUUUGCCUUGUUUCUGUCGGGGAGAUUUCAGCUCCCUUACAAGCUUUUUAUCCUCCUGGUGGUUUCCCCAACUCUCUGCUGACUUUCAGAGCCUGUCUGUCUGGGCGACGUUCUCUGCUUUCAUGAGUCUCAGUGCGUCCUCAUCAGGCUCAGCCCCAAAUCGAGUCUCGUCUGGAGGGGCCAGCUCCGUAGAAGGCUGCGAUUUCAUUGAUUACGAUACUGAUUUCAUGUUGAACUGUUCUUCCACGACUUCAAAGUCUCUCUGGAAUCAUUUUCAGGUGUUUUUUUGGCUUUUUGCCUUUUCUAGGGCCGCUCCUGCGGCACAUGGAGGUUCCCAAGGCUAGGGCCCUAUAAAGACAAAAAAAAAAAAAAAAAAAAAGAAGAAGAAAGAGCGAGCAGCAGCUGCCAGCCUACACCACAGCAACGCCAGAUUUGAACUGUGUCUGUGACCUAUACCACAGCUCACAGCAAUGCCAGAUCCUUAACCUGUUGAGCAAGGCCAGGGAUUGAACCUGUACCCUCACAGAGAACACUGGGUCCUUAACCCUCUAAGUCACAAUGGGAACUCCUGGCUCCAUUUCUCCGUGUACCUUCCCCGAACAUCCCAAUUUCCAGCCAGACUGAAUGGCAGCAGGUGCAUGGAAACGGCACACACUUUCUUACUUUGCCUUAAAGCUCUUUCCCUCCUUUAGCUGCCUGAUGUGUCUCGAUUUGAGUUGCCUCCCCCAGGAAGGGCACCCUGAUUGGAACAGGAAGGAGCAAAUCUGACUCCAUCGGGGAUCUGUUUUUGCUUUUUGUUUUUACUCUAACUUUUGUAUUCCGUUGCUUUUGCUCCCCCUUAAGAUGUAUGUGGCCUAAAGCCUGAAACAUAGAGGGCAGCCCAUUCUCCAGGCUCUGACCUUUGAGGGUCUAGCACUUUUCUAGUUACACAGAGAUAGAAAGUUGCAGAACAGAGAAUAACAUUCGUUUUGCUGGAGGCUUACAGGAAUACUGUGCCUUGAACCGUGUGGACCAGAACAAAGGAUUCCCACACGGAGAAGUGUACAAGGACCCACCACGUCCCUCCUCUUUUCAGUAUAAAAGAAGCCUGGACUCUGACACGGGUAAGACGGUGCUCUGGGACACUCGUCAGGCAUUUUCUUGCCCUGCUGGCUUUCCGAAUAAAGUCGCCAUUUCUUGCCUCAACAACCUGUCUCUCGAUUUACUGGCCUGUUGUGUGGUGGACAUUACGCGCCUGGAUCCUGUGACGAGAUCCCUUAGAAGGCGCAGGGCACUCUGCCCCACCUGUAGGUCCCUACAGCCCUGGCUCCGACAUCUGUAACAGCACCUGCGUCACUUCUGCCUCAGUUCGCAAUCUUGACUGCAAGCUCCUUCAACACCAGGACCUUCUUUGAUUAAACUUUUUCCAUCUCGCACCCUAGUUUGAGAAUCCUGCAGGAGUGUAUUGGUCAGCUAUUGCCACCAUAACACUGCAUAACAAAUCACCCCCAAACUCACAGGUGCACCAUAACCAGCAUUUAUUUCUGGCUCACUGUCCGCCAGUUGGUGGGGAUUUGGCUGAUUGAGGCUGGGUUUGGCUCUGCCUGGCCAGGGCGUGUCUGCUCUGCGUUUCUUAUUCUGGGAUUGGUGGGACACCAGAGGUGGAACAGCCUCAGGGCGGCAUGAGCACAUUUUAAGCCUCUCCCUCUUCCCCUAUUAGCCAAAGAAUGACAUAUGGCCAAGCAUGGUAUCCGGUGGUGGGCAAGAACUCUGCCCGCCGCGAAGCCACAGCCAAGACAUGGAUGUACGGUAGCACUACACAGAAGGAAGAUAUCACACCUGCCAUCCGGUCUGCCCCCGGGGCACUUAAACAUCCAUGGCAUCAACAAGUAGGGGAUAUUCGAGAGGUCCCGAAAGAUUCCUCCGUAGCCGCACAGAUCUUAGCAAAGGCGCGUUUACCCACACGCGAGAACCUGCUCGGCGAGGCUGCUUCCUACCUUCUCCCAGCAUCACACCCCCCGCCCCGGUUCCCAAAGUGGCACCAACUGUUUCACCGCAGCUUGGAGGGUCAGCGUGACAGACCGACAGCAGCCUUGACUGGGGUGCUCGGGUCCCUGGAGAACUGACGCAACAGGGCACGGCCUGGUCAACCCGCCUCUGGCCCCGCCUCCACUGCCUCUGCUACAGCCCCUCGGGCAUCCACAGGGGCAAAAGGCUGAAACCCCGUGACAUUCUUGCAGACCGUCAGGUUUCACCAGACCCGCACUGUAGGCAGACUGUGGGCACAGAGGCGGGAAUUAUUAACAAAGCUUGUGACGGAGCAAAUACGUUGGCUCAUUAUUGUUCUGUUUGUUCUUCUGAUUAUUUGAGGAAUUUCAUUAAAGACCACUGAGGGAGAUGGGCCCUUUCUAAGCUCCUGCCCGUCGACCUCAAUCCUCGGGACUUUUGCGCCAUGCCGUUUGUUUUUAAGGUUCGUUUUUGUCAGGAUGGUGCGGAAUUUUCCUUGGCCGUUUGCAGGGUGGCAGAGGUCAGGAGUAAGAGGCAUCAAUAUUUAUUUCCUAAACAGUUAAUUCUCACUGUGUUGGGGAAGUGGACGGGAUACAUGUGCAUUAUGUGGCAGAAAAUGGUGAAUAAUUUACUGGGCCUUUUCGAAUCCCUGCCUGUGGAAUGAGGCAAAGCACAGAAAAGGAAGAAGUGUCUGCACUUGCUCAGGUAGGGACAUCUGCUCGGCACAGAGGGGCGGGGAGGGGACAGGAAAUGACCAAAGGGCACUGUGUGUCACGGAGGGACGGGGGGCUGCAAACGCCAGGAUCUGGUUCUUGCCACUUGAGGCUGGAGAGGCAGGAUGUGACCAGCGCAGUGGUAUUUACUGCUCAUCGCCACUGACGGGGUGUCCUUACAGCCACGAGCCACGAGGGCCGUUCUCAGACAUUCGUGUACAGAGAUGAGGUGCUGCUGAGAAAGGUCCCAUCAUCAUCGCUUUCUGUAAAAAGCACGCGUGUUAUUCCGCCAGGGCGAUGGGUUUUACACAGCGUAUUUCUCUGCUCCCGGGUUUCUCCGCUUUGGCAACCCUGACCCUCCCUGCAGCCAGGCGUCCCCGCGAAGGACAGGAGACCUGGUCUCCACCCACGAGACGCCAGGAGCACUGCUCGCCCAGCGUGACAACCAAAAAAAUGUCUCCUGACGCUGCUGCUCUCUUCCUGGAGGGACCAUCGCCCCUCGCUGGGAACCAUGGCUUUCGUCCCAUCCCGCCACAAAUUCUCGGGCUGCUAAGCGGGGACAUGCAAAUUAAAACACGAGUUAAGCACCAUUUCCCUUAGCAGGUUUGCAAUAACCUCAAGUUGGAGAAAGCAGGGUGCUGACAAAAGGAGAGCGAGGCAGGUGGUCCCAGCGGAGUGUCCCAGGUGGGCGUGGGGGAUGGCGCGAUUCUCUUCCAACUAAAAGCGCACAUUUCCAGCGACCGAGACCUUUUGGUAUCAACCUAGGAGAAAUUAUGGUCCUCCAAGGACGUGUUUCAAUAACAUUUGCUGCAAGAUCACGUGGCGUCGUGAAGAAUGGAACCCCCCCUGCCAUGUGCCCAUCAAUAGGGGCGCUGGGCUCUCUGGCAGCAGCUAAAAAUAACGAGGUGCAUCUGUGUACUGAUGUGGCUGCGACAGCAGGACAGAGCGUUAAGGAAAGAAAAAGCAAAUUACCCGACGAAAGGCUCAGAGUAAUUUCAUUUCUGUUUCUCUCUCUCUCUCGCUCUCACACAAACAGCAUGUUUUCUGCAGCUGUGUGUUUGUACAUGUCAACAAAGUCCACAGAAGAAGGUCUGGAAACGUUCUCGGGGGUGGGGGUGGGGCCCUGUGACACCCCCCCCCCUUCCCGUCUCCUUUUCUAAGGACUUGGCGAGGGUUUUGGUGGUAACUGGGCUGGGCGUCUGGGGGGACAGAGGCCGGGGGGGGGGGUCGAGUGAGUGGGGAGACAGCGCAGGCUGGUGUGUGUUCCAAAGCGGGUGCCGUGAUCUACAACGGCCAAAAGCCGGGUGAACCCAAGCGUCCAGCGACAGAUGCGUGGAUAACAAAACACAGCCCUACAUCCGACAGCCGAUCCUUCGGCCCCACAAAAAGGUUAAUCCACAGGGUGACACGGAUGAACCUUGAAAACAGAUGAUGAAGUGAGAGAAGCCGGACACGAAAGGCCAUGUGUCACACGAUUCCACCCAUAGGAAAUGUCCAGAAUCAGUAAAUCCAAACGGACAAAGCCUAUUUCUGUUUGUCAGGGGUCGGGGGGUUGGGGGUGGGGAGCGAUGGUUCCAUGCACACAGGGUCUCCUUUGGGGAUGAAAGUUCUAGAACUGGCCACAGGCGGUGGGAGCCCGGCCCUGUGAUGUGCCGAGUGCCCCUGAGCUGUGCGUUUCGUGGCCGGUGCUUCCACGUGAUGCGACCUUCAUCUCAAUAAAAGUUUUAGAAAAGGGCACCCCUUCUGAGACCCGGGCGGGAUCGACCUUGCCGAUGACCCCUCCCCCAGACCCGCUGCUCCAGAAACGACCCUUCGUCACGACCC
rnacentral:lncRNA from 9 species